ACAGCAGGUCAACUACAGCAGGUCAACUACAGCAGGUCAACUACAGCAGGUUAACUACAGCAGAUUAACUACAGCAGGUCAACUACAGCAGGUCAACUACAGCAGGUCAACUACAGCAGAUUAACUACAGCAGAUUAACUACAGCAGGUCAACUACAGCAGGUCAACUACAGCAGGUCAACUACAGCAGAUUAACUACAGCGUCAACUACAGCAGGUCAACUACAGCAGGUCAACUACAGCAGGUCAACUACAGCAGGUUAACUACAGCAGGUUAACUACAGCAGGUCAACUACAGCAGGUCAACUACAGCAGGUCAACUACAGCAGGUCAACUACAGCAGAUCAACUACAGCAGGUCAACUACAGCAGGUUAACUACAGCAGGUCAACGCCCAAACCAGGAAAUACUCUGGUUUUAAGGUCAUGUGAUCGAAAGCUCCAGAGAAGCUACUAAAUGGAAACACACUUGUUUUCUUGUACAUUCGAAAUAAAUGAGGAUUAAUCUGUUGAAUCAGAAUCAGAUUUAUCCCCAAGUAGGUUUUCAACACAUAAGGAAUUUACUUUGGUGUUUGGUGCUCAAUGACAAAUAUUAAGUAGAGAAAAGAAGGAAAGAAAAUUAAAGCUACUAAAUACAGGACAGGAAGUAAAAACUAAACAAGUUAAAUAUACUAAAAGUGUGUGUGGGGGUGUGUGUGUGUGUGUGUGUCAGAGACACUUUCAGUGCAGUACCUGGUUUGAACAGCAGAUGGCAGACUUCACUCAGUCAUGGAGACUACUUUAGAUUUUGAGUUUGUAAUAAAUAAAUCGACACAAGAGAAAGAUCAUAAGUUCUUUAAAUAGAAAAGAAUGAAAUAAAGUUACACACAAAAUAAAACAGUCCAGUGUCACCAUCUGUUCUUGUGUUCGUCGUCAUGACCAGUUUUUGGUUUUGCU